CCUACGGGAGGCAGCAGUCGAGAAUCAUUCACAAUGGGGGAAACCCUGAUGGUGCGACGCCGCGUGGGGGAAUGAAGGUCUUCGGAUUGUAAACCCCUGUCAUGUGGGAGCAAAUUAAAAAGAUAGUACCACAAGAGGAAGAGACGGCUAACUCUGUGCCAGCAGCCGCGGUAAUACAGAGGUCUCAAGCGUUGUUCGGAAUCACUGGGCGUAAGGCGUGCGGAGGCUGUUUCGUAAGCCGUGUGUGAAAGGCGCGGGCUCAACCCGCGGACGGAACAUGAUACUGCGAGACUAGAGUAAUGGAGGGGGAACCGGAAUUCUCGGUGUAGCAGUGAAAUGCGUAGAUAUCGAGAGGAACACUCGUGGCGAAGGCGGGUUCCUGGACAUUAACUGACGCUGAGGCACGAAGGCCAGGGGAGCGAAAGGGAUUAGAUACCCCAGUAGUC
rnacentral:rRNA from 1 species